GAUGAACGCUGGCGGCGUGCUUAACACAUGCAAGUCGAACGAAGCACUUUAUUUGAUUUCCUUCGGGACUGAUUAUUUUGUGACUGAGUGGCGGACGGGUGAGUAACGCGUGGGUAACCUGCCUUGUACAGGGGGAUAACAGUUGGAAACGGCUGCUAAUACCGCAUAAGCGCACAGCAUCGCAUGAUGCAGUGUGAAAAACUCCGGUGGUAUAAGAUGGACCCGCGUUGGAUUAGCGAGUUGGUGAGGUAACGGCCCACCAAGGCGACGAGCCAUAGCCGACCUGAGAGGGUGACCGGCCACAUUGGGACUGAGACACGGCCCAAACUCCUACGGGAGGCAGCAGUGGGGAAUCUUGCACAAUGGGCGAAAGCCUGAUGCAGCGACGCCGCGUGAGCGAAGAAGUAUUUCGGUAUGUAAAGCUCUAUCAGCAGGGAAGAUAAUGACGGUACCUGACUAAGAAGCACCGGCUAACUACGUG
rnacentral:rRNA from 1 species